CCGAGUUAGGGUCCUAUGUUUGGCCCGACCUCCAAACCUAUGUGUACUAUGCAAUAUACUGUUGCUUUGGCAGGUGAUAAUUGAUGCCCUGCCAGAGCCCCAAACUCAAUAUUUUUUAAAAUGUGGUGUCUGAGUUGAAAUGUAAUUAAUCAAUCA
rnacentral:misc_RNA from 1 species